rnacentral:rRNA from 1 species
GAUGAACGCUGGCGGCGUGCUUAAUACAUGCAAGUCGAGCGAAAAGACGAGGAGUUUGUUCCUCGGCCGUUAGGGGCGGCCGGGUGAUUAACACGUGGAUAACCUACUUUAAAGCCUGGGAUAACUUGGGAAACCGGGAUCUAAUCCGGGAAAAUAUAUUGAACCCCAGUGUUCAUUGGUAAAAGUCGGUUUUUUUGUACCUAAUAGAUGGUUCCCGGCCGAUUUGGCUGGUUGGUAAGUUAACGGCUUACCAAGGCAAGCAUCCGUAGCCGACCUGAUAGGGGGAUCGGCCACACGGGAACUGAGACAAGGUCCAGACUCCUACGGGAGGCAGCAGUAGGGAAUAUUCCGCAAUGGGCGAAAGCUUGACGGAGCAACGCCGCGUGAGUGAUGAAGGUCUUCGGAUCGUAAAACUCUGUUAUUAGGGAAGAACAAAUGUGUAAGUAAAUAUGCACGUAUUGACGGUACCUAAUCAGAAAGCCACGGCUAACUACGUG